GUGAAAUACAAACAACAACUCGGGCUGCCCCAGGAUGAGCAACUGCACAUCACAGCCCUGGGGCCGUGCCUGCAGCCAGGAUAAUCUCCAGUGAUUACUUUUUCCUGGUGCAUUUCCCGUUGGGCUGUCCAGAGGCCGUGGCAGAUGCAGGAGUAAAUAGAGCCCCUCCAGAAGUGGCCAACAAUGCUGAUACCACUGAAGAGGAUGAUGAGGGAAACAAGGAGAGAAACAAAAGGAAGAGGCAAAGAGGCUGA